ensembl:rRNA 5S_rRNA 5S ribosomal RNA
GCUGGCAGCUAGCUCUCUGCAACUCUCACAUAAUCGCUCACUGAAGCUAAGCAGAGCUGCAACCUGUCAGUACCUGAAUGGGAGACCACAUGGGAAAGCUACGUUGCUGCCAGAA